rnacentral:rRNA from 1 species
AGUGAACGCUGGCGGCAUGCCUUACACAUGCAAGUCGAACGGUAACAGGUCUUCGGAUGCUGACGAGUGGCGAACGGGUGAGUAAUACAUCGGAACGUGCCUAGUAGUGGGGGAUAACUACUCGAAAGAGUGGCUAAUACCGCAUGAGAUCUACGGAUGAAAGCAGGGGAUCGCAAGACCUUGUGCUACUAGAGCGGCCGAUGGCAGAUUAGGUAGUUGGUGGGAUAAAAGCUUACCAAGCCGACGAGCUGUAGCUGGUCUGAGAGGACGAUCAGCCACACGGGGACUGAGACACGGCCCAGACUCCCACGGGAGGCAGCAGUGGGGAAUUUUGGACAAUGGGCGCAAGCCUGAUCCAGCAAUGCCGCGUGCAGGAUGAAGGCCUUCGGGUUGUAAACUGCUUUUGUACGGAACGAAAAGCCCCGGGUUAAUACCCUGGGGUCAUGACGGUACCGUAAGAAUAAGCACCGGCUAACUACGUGCCAGCCGCCGCUGUAA